AGUGAACGCUGGCGGUAGGCCUAACACAUGCCAGUCGAACGGCAGCACAGGAGAGCUUGCUCUCUGGGUGGCGAGUGGCGGACGGGUGAGGAAUGCAUCGGAAUCUACUCUUUCGUGGGGGAUAACGUAGGGAAACUUACGCUAAUACCGCAUACGACCUACGGGUGAAAGCCGGGGACCUUCGGGCCUGGCGCGAAUGAAUGAGCCGAUGCCCGAUUAGCUAGUUGGCGGGGUAAGAGCCCACCAAGGCGACGAUCGGUAGCUGGUCUGAGAGGAUGAUCAGCCACACUGGAACUGAGACACGGUCCAGACUCCUACGGGAGGCAGCAGUGGGGAAUAUUGGACAAUGGGCGCAAGCCUGAUCCAGCCAUACCGCGUGGGUGAAGAAGGCCUUCGGGUUGUAAAGCCCUUUUGUUGGGAAAGAAAAGCAGCUGGUUAAUACCCGGUUGUUCUGACGGUACCCAAAGAAUAAGCACCGGCUAACUUCGUG
rnacentral:rRNA from 1 species